rnacentral:misc_RNA from 1 species
GAUGAAGAACGUAGCGAAAUGCGAUAAGUAAUGUGAAUUCCAGAAUUCAGUGAAUCAUCGAAUCUUUGAACGCACAUUGCGCCCGCCAGUAUUCUGGCGGGCAUGCCUGUUCGAGCGUCAUUUCAACCAUCAAGCCCCGGGCUUGUGUUGGGGACCUGCGGCUGCCGCAGGCCCUGAAAUGCAGUGGCGGGCUCGCUGUCACUCCGAGCGUAGUAGUUACAUCUCGCUCUGGGCGUGCUGCGGGUUCCGGCCGUUAAAAGCCUUAUUUACCCAAGGUUGACCUCGGAUCAGGUAGGAAGACCCGCUGAACUUAAGCAUAUCAAUAAGCGGAGGA